rnacentral:antisense_RNA from 1 species
AUAUGGGCCUGCCCCUGCCGGUGAGGCGGCCGCAAUGGUGCAUGGGAAUGGGAUGCUCUGUGACCCAGGUGGUGUGGGCUGAGUCCCGGGAGCCAAAAGGCAGAGGCAGGAUCAGCCAUGGGAUUCCAGCCUUGGUCUUCCGUGGUAAGCUCCACAAAGGCAGGAAAGUCUGUCCCUGUCUAGGACAGUGGCUGGCACACGAGGGCCAUCGGUAAACACUUGGAUGAACCAGGCUCAGAGACACACAGUGCUCAAGGUCACACAGCAAGUAAGUGAGGGAGGGGGUGUGAAACCAGGGCCAAGGCUGCAGCAGACAGCAAAUCCAAAGAAGUGUUCCACUCAAUUCUGGGAACUCCCAACCCCAGGCUCUGGGAGAAGGAGCAGACACACACCAGUGUGCGAAUGCAGCUGCAACACUCGCUGGAAGGAGAGGUGACACUGUCUGGGGCAUCUGGGAAGGCUGGUCAGAGGAGGUGACGCCUUGGCAGGGCUUGGAGAGGGAGGUUCCAGCAGGGUCGGCCUCACACACAUGAAGGGUCUUGGAUGUCAACACUGGACAUCCUUCCCCAGGGAGGUAGUUCAUUCAGUCAUGGAACAUUUCAAGGCGGGAAGAAGGUGUUCAUCACAGGGCUAUGAUCAUGUGCCCAUUGCAGACCACCCUGUCCUGGGCGCAUGAGGAGUUCGUCUCCUAAAUCAGUGGUUCUCAACAGGGACAGUCCUCCCUCCCCAGGGGACACUUGGCAAUGACUGGAGGAGUUGCUACUGGCAUCUCCUGGGUGGAGGCCAGGCAGGGCUGCUGCUGAACAUCCCUGUCUAGUGCACAGGACAGCCUCCACCACAAAGAAUCAUCCAGCCCCAAAUGUCAACAGCACCAAGGUUGAGAACUCUGUUCUAAGCCCUGAAAUUAUCAUUUGACAAGCGCAAUUACAAUUCAAUGUCUUUUUGAUGCACCAAAGCCAUUAAUGUCUUCAAUGUGAAUAUUUAAAACACACAGGUGACCUGUUUCGUGAUUUAUUUCUUAAUAAAGCAGGAGGAGCCUUGUAACAUGGGAGUGGUUCCAUGCAAAGGGAACAGCAUGCACCAGGCUCAGUGGCUCUGUGGAAAGAGAGCAGGCAUCUGUAGUCGACUGCACCUGGGACAGAAGGGAUGAUGGGAAUAGAGCCCAGAGAGGGGCAGGGGCUGCACAAGGCAGGGCUCAGACCCCAGGCCACAGAGCAUGGAUUGUGUCCUGGGAGGGGGAGACCUUGAGAACAUUUAAAGCAAGGGGAGAAUGGGAUCUAUAGCAUACCCUAUAAAGAUCCCUCAACAGCAAUGAGAUUCAGUUUCAUAUCCACAAAAUUGGUAAAAAUGUCAGUUUGACAUUGCCAAGUGUUGGCAAGGAAACGGAGCAACUGAAAUUCCCACACCCUGCUGGCGGGAACAUACAUUGGAACAACCAAUAUGGAAAAUCCUUCUAAGGCUUAUGCCCCCAGGGAAACCCUCACAUGUGGGAAUAGGGACAAGAACACUCAUUGCUGCACUGUUUAUGGUAGUGACAGACAGAAGUGACUGAAAUGUCCAUCUUAAGGAGAAUGAGCAAAUACAUUGUGUUACAGCUGCACAGGGGACUAUGACACUGCAGUGAGAACAAAGAAACCAACUCCAUACAUGAGCAUGGGAGGAGCAGCCCCAGCACGGCAGUGAGCAACACAAACCAGUCACUGAAAGCAUCAUUGUGACACCAUUUAUAGAAAACGUACAAACAUGCAGAAUAAUGCGUUAAGGAUUUAUACAUAUAGAGUAAAACUAUAACAACAUGCAUGGG